AACUCGCCUCAAGAUGAGACAUCUUUUAAGGGUCGUUGGAGAUGACAACGUUGAUAGGCUACAGGUGUAAAGUUGGUAACAGCAUAGCCGAGUAGUACUAAUUACCCGUAGAUUUAUAGCC
rnacentral:ncRNA from 1 species